GCGGGGGUGCCCGAGCUAGGUCAAAGGGGUCGGGCUUAGGCCCCGAUGGUGUAGACCUGCGUGGGUUCGAAUCCCACCCCCCGCACCA
rnacentral:tRNA from 1 species